rnacentral:rRNA from 1 species
UGAGGAAUAUUGGACAAUGGGCGCAAGCCUGAUCCAGCCAUGCCGCGUGCAGGAUGACGGUCCUAUGGAUUGUAAACUGCUUUUGUACAGGAAGAAACAGUUCUACGUGUAGAACCUUGACGGUACUGUAAGAAUAAGGAUCGGCUAACUCCGUGCCAGCAGCCGCGGUAAUACGGAGGAUCCAAGCGUUAUCCGGAAUCAUUGGGUUUAAAGGGUCCGUAGGCGGUUAGAUAGGUCAGUGGUGAAAGCCCAUCGCUCAACGGUGGAACGGCCAUUGAUACUGUCUGACUUGAAUUAUUAGGAAGUAACUAGAAUAUGUAGUGUAGCGGUGAAAUGCUUAGAGAUUACAUGGAAUACCAAUUGCGAAGGCAGGUUACUACUAAUGGAUUGACGCUGAUGGACGAAAGCGUGGGUAGCGAACAGGAUUAGAUACCCCCGUAGUCCCUGAGCGGGCUGGCAAGGCGCAU